UCAGAUUGAACGCUGGCGGCAGGCUUAACACAUGCAAGUCGAGCGGUAACNGGUCCUUCNGGAUGCUGACGAGCGGCGGACGGGUGAGUAAUGCUUAGGAAUCUGCCUGGUAGUGGGGGAUAGCCCGGGGAAACCCGGAUUAAUACCGCGUACGCCCUUCGGGGGAGAGCAGGGGAUCUUCGGACCUUGCGCUAUCAGAUGAGCCUAAGCCGGAUUAGCUAGUUGGUAGGGUAAAGGCCUACCAAGGCGACGAUCCGUAGCUGGUCUGAGAGGAUGAUCAGCCACAUCGGGACUGAGACACGGCCCGAACUCCUACGGGAGGCAGCAGUGGGGAAUAUUGGACAAUGGGGGCAACCCUGAUCCAGCCAUGCCGCGUGUGUGAAGAAGGCUUUCGGGUUGUAAAGCACUUUCAGUGAGGAGGAAGGCCUUAAGGUUAAUACCCUUGAGGAUUGACGUUACUCACAGAAGAAGCACCGGCUAACUCCGUGCCAGCAGCCGCGGUAAUACGGAGGGUGCAAGCGUUAAUCGGAAUUACUGGGCGUAAAGCGCGCGUAGGUGGUUUGAUAAGCGAGAUGUG
rnacentral:rRNA from 1 species